rnacentral:rRNA from 1 species
GUCUAUAGCCACGCCACCCUGAGCAAGGCUGAUCUCAUCUGAUCUCAGAAGCUAAGCAGGGUUGGGCCUGGUUAGUACCCCACCCAAACACUCUGCUUCACACU